rnacentral:lncRNA from 9 species
CUCGUGGUUGAAAGUGUACCUUUCCCUUUAGAGCUGCUGUACAUCAUGACUUCUAAAAGCAAAGCAAGCUGAGUUGAUUUCUUGGGAAAUGCUGGAUGGCUGAGGCAUAUCAAAGGGAAUUUGGAAUAGUUUAUGUGGUUUGAAAAUUCUUGGGGCAAAACUGCCUUCCUGUUGCUUUUGGAAACUACAGUCCAGAAAUGGAAAGGAGGUAAACAACAGAAACUCCCUCAGCAUUUGAUUUGUUUCCCAUUUGUACUUAGCUAAUUAUUUUAUGCUAACAAGAGAACAUGUUUCUCUGCCGUCUUUUUUUUUUAAAGGCUCGCUGCAACCAUGGAACACUUGGAAGAUGAAUUCAGUUCUCUUUCCGUUUACAAGUUUACACACACAUGGAGCCAGCCAGGAUAAGGGUGUAUCAGAUUUGAAUGGAGCCUUAAAGAAUAUACGAGCUACUCUCUACAAAAACCUGGCCGAGUGGCAGCCUUUGUUUGUCCUAAAAUGUGACUUCACCACUCAUUCUUCUCACACCCACCUUUCUGCAGUUUGACUAGAGGCCUCUGAGACACCUUCUUCCUGGACCUCCCAAGGGGCCUGGAGAUGCUGAGAACUUGGAGAUGUAAGCUCAGCCGUAGAAAUAUUCCUCUGCUUGCUAUUUGACAUCCCAUGCCAGUUUUGCAAAGCUUCCUUGAAUCAGGAGGAAGGGUUGUUUUUAGGACUCCAUACAUCUUCCUGAAAACAAGCUGAAUUGUUAGAGGCGAAGUGGGAGUUCCUGAGGCAAACAAAGGAAACGGUUAGACGGACCCUCACAGAAGCCACAAGGCAAGCAGGUUCUCCAGAAUUACAGUCUUUAUCUCUAACCUCUUUUUAGAGGUUGGCAAGAACACACAGUGCUUCUUGAGAGAGAUUACGUGGGUCGUGGCUGCAGUGGCAGCAGAGCUGUGUGUCAGCAUAUUAAGUCAAUGGAAGUACACAAGCUUUGCCAAAGCAAAGCAGACAGAACGGAGGCUGCUGGUUGCAGGGCGAAGCCGGUGUCUGGUGCUAGGCAUUUCUCCUCCCUUUCGAUGGGGCAAGAAAUUAACCCCUGCCUCCUUCUUUGAAAAACCACUUUAACAAGUCCUUUAACAGCUGAAGUGAAUAGGUCUCUAUAUGGCUCUGUCUUCACUGAACAAAAACUCAUCCCAAUUCUUGUUUUUUUUUACAAUGGUGAAGGCCAAAGGCAUGGAAGAAAUGUGGGCAGUCACUUAAACAGGUGAAGAUGGCUGACUUUUCUAAUUAAUUUGCUGACAUUUAGUAAGUGCACCAAUGUGCAAAAAGCACACUACACUAGACUUUACUGAGAAGGAAAAAAUUCAAGUUAUUUACAGCUAUAAUUUUAUUGUAUGUUUAUGUAUGAGGCACUGUGCAAAUCAUUUUAUAUGUCAUCUUGUUUUAAUCUUAACACAAUCUUAUAAGUGUUAUUAUUUGCAUUUCCCAGUUUAUGAGAGACUUGAAAGUGUUAGUAGCUUGCUUGCUGACAAGACUAAGUGACAAUGCCAGAUUUUGUUUGAUUCCAAUUAUCUGUCUAUAAUUAUUCUGAAUUCCUUUUAAAAGAGACAAUGCAGUUCCUGAUCUCAAAGCAAUGUAUUUCUGUAUUCUAGUUAAUUGUACCACAGAUUGCCAGCCAGUCAGAAUUACCUAUACACCUCAGAAUCUGAGCUGAUGAAAAUGUAAAACCCUUCCUAUUUCCAGAGCUCCCUUUUCUGCCCAGUUUGGAAGAGCUCCUAAUUGUAAGGGGAACAGCUUUGGCAGCGACCCUCCUUGCCUCAGUCCCUCUCCAUUCAGUGAUUCUGUGUUCAGCCUGCAUGCCCUCCUCUGAGCUCAGAAGCAGAGCCACGGGGAUGUUCCAUGGAUGACAUUUAUGCAGGCAAAUGGAUCACCGCCUACAGUUAGGUGGACACUUUUAGAAUUCAGAAUCCAAAAUGGCUUAUCUCUAAUCUCGGUUGCUGAAACAUGUUUCUGUUUGUUAACAGGGGCUGCCUGCUAGCUUAUCAGAGGUGUGCCAAGCUUAGCAAUAACUGUGACUAUGUUGGAAUGGUAGAACCAUUUAAUAUAAUACACAUAAGAUACGUGUGUGUGUAUAUAUAUGUGUGUGUGUAUGUGUGUGUGUAUAAGUAUGUAUAUAUGUAUGUAUACAUUUAUUUAUAGACAUUUGUAUAUACAUACAUAAAAUAUACAAUAUAUACAUACAGUAUGUGCAAUGUAUAUAUUGGUGUCUGAAUAUUUAGGAACCAAAAUAUGUCUAUAUUCAUUUAACAGUGAGUUAUACUGAUCAAAGUAUUUGAAGUCUCCAAAGCAAUAGAAAUGCAUAUACUCUAUUCAUCUGUUAUUUAUGGAGCUCUUAUUAUGUCUUAGACAUAGUUUUAAAGAUACCAGUAAAAAUGUAUUAUUUUAAAGAUACCAAUAAAAGAUGUGUUGUUUCUGUCCUUAGAGAGUUCAUUUUUAUCUAAUGAUAUCUUUCCAUGAAAAUGACUGCUUUUUCUCCUUUUUUUUUCUAUAUAAUUUGCAACAUUUUCAGUUUAAGUUGGAGCUUGCAUUUUCUGUAAUAUAUCAGACUAGAUAAUCAGACUAGAUAAUAUAAGGCACAGAAGAAAGUAGAUACACUCUAGGGAACACCUAAAGUAGAAAGUCUAUUGGCAGGCCCCCAUGUAAAGCUGAGACUUCAUUGGAAUACAGUUUCCUCUUAGAAGCAGACAAUAAGGAAGCAUUUCUUUUCACUUUAGCACUAAGUGUAAAGGAAGAAAAUCUGGAGUUCUCUGGUGGAUCAGUGGGUUAAGGAUCUAGCAUUGUCACCGCAGUACUACAGGUUCAGUCCCUGGCCUGAGAACUUCUGCAUGUGCAGGAAAGAAAGAGAGAGAGAGAGAGAGAGAGAGAGAGAGGGAGAGAGAGAAGGAAGGAGGGAGGGAGGGAGGAAGGAAAGAAAAGAAAGAAAGAAGGAAGGAAGGAAGGAAGAGAAAGAAAGAAA